GUGAGAUGGAGGUACGGGAGGGUACUGAGCAGGAGAGGAACGGGACCUGACCCCGCUGUUCACAGUGUCACUCUGGGUGCAUGUGAGGAACAGACUGUGGGGAGCAGGGAGACCAUUGAGAAGGAUGCCAUGAUGAUCUAGCCCAUGGUCGGCAAACUCACUAGUCAACAGAACCAAAUAUCAACGGUACAACGAUUACAAUUUCUUUUGAGAGCCGAAAACUGACUUCUGUGCAUGGGCCAUGAAGUUUCAAUCACACUGUACGUGUGCGCCCGCACAUGGUAUUUUGUGGGAGAGCCACACUCAAGGGGCCAAAGAGCCGCAUGUGGCUAACGAACCCCAGUUUGCCGACCACUGAUGUAGGUAGAUGAUGAGAGUGGACAGAUCUAGGGUGACAACAAUGGAGGUGGGAAGAAAUGAACAGGUUCUGAAUAAACUUUGAAAGAAUUUGUUGAUGGACCAGACAUGGAUAUAAAACAAAGAGGGGACUCAAGAACAACUCCAAAGCUUUGAGUUUGAGCAACUACAAGGAUGGAGGUGACAUUUACUGAGAACAACCUUGGAAGAACAGAUUUUUUUGGG